rnacentral:piRNA from 1 species
UGGGAAGAAACUUUGGUGCCAAACCUCGUG